UACGAAGGGGGCUAGCGUUGCUCGGAAUCACUGGGCGUAAAGGGUGCGUAGGCGGGUCUUUAAGUCAGGGGUGAAAUCCUGGAGCUCAACUCCAGAACUGCCUUUGAUACUGAAGAUCUUGAGUUCGGGAGAGGUGAGUGGAACUGCGAGUGUAGAGGUGAAAUUCGUAGAUAUUCGGAAGAACACCAGUGGCGAAGGCGACUGACUGGACAAGUAUUGACGCUCAGGCACGAAAGCGUGGGGAGCAAACAGG
rnacentral:rRNA from 1 species